rnacentral:lncRNA from 1 species
GUCAGAGACAAAGAAACACAAACCCAAGGAUUGAAUCACUUGGUGGUCCAGUAAAAGAAUGCAUUCUCCUCAGCUAUCUGGAGAAGUUCAAGAUUGUCUUUGAUAAAAGAAUAUUUACCAGGUGUCUGAAAAUACCAAGCUGGAGAAUUAGUCUAUGGUGAUUAAAAACUCUCAAAGCAUGUCUUACCAACUGGAGAAUUUUUCCUAUGUCAACCAAAGGGACCUCCCAGUGCCAAGUGUAUAAGUGUGUCUGGAAUUGGUGGGUUCUUGGUCUCACUGACUUCAAGAAUGAAGCUGCAGACCCUCCUGUUAGGAGCCUUUUGACUCUUUCACAGCUAGCAUGAAGGCACAGGGAGGGAAAUCUCAAAAACCAACAACCUGUGUAUUCCCAGCCUAUUAAUCAAUAGAAAAUCACUUCAACUGGAUUAGGGUCUUGUACCUGGAAGAAAGGCUGUUAUGGACAUUGGAAUUGGAUUUUUACACUUGAUAUGACACCUCCUUGAGUCAGAUCAGAUUCGUGUUUGAUAGACUCUUGCCGAAAAAUUGCUCCAGGGUCUGUGCGGUAGCUAAAGCCUUUUUGUUGUUGUUGUUGUUUUAAAAGCAGCAUUAAAUGUUUUCAUGAAGACCUUC